rnacentral:rRNA from 1 species
UACGGAGGGUGCAAGCAUUGAUCGGAAUUACUGGGCGUAAAGGGCGCGUAGGCGGCUUAUCAAGUCAGGCGUGAAAUUCCCGGGCUCAACCUGGGGGCUGCGCUUGAUACUGAUGAGCUUGAAUGCGGGAGAGGAUAGUGGAAUUCCCAGUGUAGAGGUGAAAUUCGUAGAUAUUGGGAAGAACACCGGUGGCGAAGGCGGCUAUCUGGCCCGGUACUGACGCUGAGGUGCGAAAGCGUGGGGAGCAAACAGG